rnacentral:misc_RNA from 1 species
AAACUCCAUUCCUACAGCAGCACCAACAGAGAGAGCAAAUGUACCCAACAUUUCGGUUACAGGAACUUCUCCUCCCUCCAUUUGCCACGAAAAUCUGUAAUAAACAGCCAUAACAGCCAUAGAAGUAAUCCCAAAACUAGACAUUAUAGCAGCCACAAGAUAAGUAAACCUCUCCGAUUUCUUCCUAGCCAGUUUCUCCGCCAAGCGAGUAGCUAAGAUCUGUUCCUCAAUCUUCUUUUCAAAAUCCUCAGCCUCAUCGUCAAAUUGAGGUUUCAGCUUCUCAUCCUCGAGAACAAAGCAAACAGUGAAACUGGGUUUUCUUCUAGACCUCAAAAUUGGGCCUAGAUUAAGAGAAAAAGGAGAGAUUGGAGAAACAUGUGAGGUUGUCGAAGUAGGUUUUGGGCCAAGAAACGGUGAAUGACGGAAAUAAAAAGUUCGUGAGGUAGAGGAGGCGGAGAUUCUGGCGGCGGCAGCCAUUGAUUGUGGAGAUGACCAAUUUAGACUCUCUCUCAGAGAGGGUGAUGGCAGUUAAAG